UACAGAGGCCUCGAGCGUUUAGGCGGAAUCACUGGGCUUAAAGCGUGUGUAGGCGGACUUCUAAGUGCCUUGUGAAAUCCCACGGCUCACCCGUGGAACUGCUGGGCAUACUGGGAGUCUUGAGCCACCUAGGGGCGAGCGGAACAAAUGGUGGAGCGGUGAAAUGCGUAGAUAUCAUUUGGAACGCCAACGGAGAAAUCAGCUCGCUGGGGGUGUGCUGACGCUGAGACACGAAAGCCAGGGGAGCGAACGGG
rnacentral:rRNA from 1 species